ACUCAAAGGAAUAGACGGGGGCCCGCACAAGCGGUGGAGCAUAUGGCUUAAUUCGAUGCAACGCGAAGAACCUUACCAGGACUUGACAUGCACCUGCAAGCGCUAGAGAUAGUGCCGCCUUCGAGGGUGGUGCACAGGUGGUGCAUGGCUGUCGUCAGCUCGUGUUGUGAAAUGUUGGGUUAAGUCCCGCAACGAGCGCAACCCUCAUGAUCUGUUGCCAGCGAGUAAAGUCGGGAACUCUGAUCAAACUGCCUCUGUAAAGAGGAGGAAGGUGGGGAUGACGUCAAGUCAUCAUGCCCCUUACGUCCUGGGCUGCACAUAUGCUACAAUGGCCGGUACAAAGAGCUGCUAGAGCGCGAGCUCAUGCUAAUCUCAAAAAGCCGGUCUCAGUUCGGAUUGGAGUCUGCAACUCGACUCCAUGAAGUCGGAAUCGCUAGUAAACGCCGGUCAGCAAUACGGCGUUGAAUACGUUCCCGGGCCUUGCACACACCGCCCGU
rnacentral:rRNA from 1 species